rnacentral:rRNA from 1 species
AUUGAACGCUGGCGGCAUGCCUUACACAUGCAAGUCGAACGGUAACAGGUCUUCGGAUGCUGACGAGUGGCGAACGGGUGAGUAAUACAUCGGAACGUGCCCGCUCGUGGGGGAUAACGAGGCGAAAGCUUUGCUAAUACCGCAUACGAUCUACGGAUGAAAGCGGGGGAUCUUCGGACCUCGCGCGGAAGGAGCGGCCGAUGGCAGAUUAGGUAGUUGGUGGGAUAAAAGCUUACCAAGCGGACGAUCUGUAGCUGGUCUGAGAGGAUGAUCAGCCACACUGGGACUAAGACACGGCCCAGACUCCUACGGGAGGCAGCAGUGGGGAAUUUUGGACAAAGGGCGAAAGCCUGAUCCAGCCAUGCCGCGUGCAGGAUGAAGGCCUUUGGGUUGUAAACUGCUUUUGUACGGAACGAAAAGCCUCUUUCUAAUAAAGAGGGGUCAUGACGGUACCGUAAGAAUAAGCACCGGCUAACUACGUG